GACGAACGCUGGCGGCGUGCUUAACACAUGCCAGUCGAACGGUAAGGCCCCAGCUUGCUGGGGUACACGAGUGGCGAACGGGUGAGUAACACGUGGGUGACCUGCCCCGCACUUCGGGAUAAGCCUGGGAAACUGGGUCUAAUACCGGAUAGGACCGCACCGUGAGGGUGUGGUGGAAAGUUUUUCGGUGUGGGAUGGGCCCGCGGCCUAUCAGCUUGUUGGUGGGGUAAUGGCCUACCAAGGCGGCGACGGGUAGCCGGCCUGAGAGGGUGGACGGCCACAUUGGGACUGAGACACGGCCCAGACUCCUACGGGAGGCAGCAGUGGGGAAUAUUGCACAAUGGGCGGAAGCCUGAUGCAGCGACGCCGCGUGGGGGAUGACGGCCUUCGGGUUGUAAACUCCUUUCACCAUCGACGAAGGUUUUCUGACGGUAGAUGAAGAAGAAGCACCGGCUAACUACGUG
rnacentral:rRNA from 1 species